UACGUAGGGGGCUAGCGUUGUCCGGAAUCAUUGGGCGUAAAGCGCGUGUAGGCGGCCCGGUAAGUCCGCUGUGAAAGUCGGGGGCUCAACCCUCGAAAGCCGGUGGAUACUGUCGGGCUCGAGUACGGAAGAGGCGAGUGGAAUUCCUGGUGUAGCGGUGAAAUGCGCAGAUAUCAGGAGGAACACCAAUUGCGAAGGCAGCUCGCUGGGACGUUACUGACACUGAGACGCGAAAGCGUGGGGAGCAAACAGG
rnacentral:rRNA from 1 species